AUUAGGACCUCCAAUCAGUCAAGAAUACCCGCUGAAUUUAAGCAUAUAACUAGGCGGAGGAAAAGAAACUAACCAGGAUUCCCUCAGUAACUGCGAGUGAAGCGGGAAAAGCUCAGACUGAAAGUCUUCGGAAUUGUAGUCUGGAGAAGUAUGGUCAGCCGAUGAUGAUGGGUAAAGUCUUCUGGAAAGGAGCGCCAAGGAGGGUGAUAGCCCCGUUCAUACUUAUCAUCAGAAGCGUACGACCUGCUUUCUACGAGUCGAGUUGUUUGGGACUGCAGCUCUAAGUGGGUGGUAAAUUCCAUCUAAAGCUAAAUAUUGGUGGGAGACCGAUAGCGAACAAGUACCGUGAGGGAAAGAUGCAAAGAACUUUGAAAAGAGAGUUAAAUAGUACCUGAAAUUGCUGAAAUGGAACCGAUGGGAGGCAGUGUCGGUGGCGGAUACUUGUAUUCGUCACAAGUCGGGCUUCUUUUCUGGUGCGGGAAAGGCUGAUGGACCAGUUUGGGCCGUCAUGUCCGUCGUGCCGGGGAAGGACUUCGACGAAAUGCCUCUCAUCACCCCGUCUUGAAACACGGACCAAGGAGUCUAACAUGUGUGCGAGUGCUCGGGGUCAACCCCCCAGCGCGAAAUAAACGUAAAGGUGAAUUUAUUCACUUAGGUAGGAUCCUUAGGUGCACUAUCGACCGACCAUGAUCCUCCGGGAGAAAGGUUUGAGUGUGAGCAUACAUGUUGGGACCCGAAAGAUGGUGAACUAUGCUUGAGUAGGGCGAAGCCAGGGGAAACUCUGGUGGAGGUCCGCAGCGAUUCUAACGUGCAAAUUGAUCGCCGAACUUGGGUAUAGGGGCGAAAGACUAAUCGAACCAUCUAGUAGCUGGUUCCUCCCGAAAUUUCCCUUAGGAUA
rnacentral:rRNA from 1 species